AGAGUUUGAUCCUGGCUCAGAAUGAACGCUGGCGGCGUGCCUAACACAUGCAAGUCGAACGAGAAAUCCUGGCUUCGGCCGGGAAAGUAAAGUGGCGCACGGGUGAGUAACGCGUGGGUAAUCUGUCCUCAAAUCUGGGAUAACUUCGCGAAAGCGAUGCUAAUACCGGAUAUCGUCCAUGAGACUGUGGUCUUUUGGAUGAAAGGUGACCUCUUCAUGAAAGUUGCCGUUUGGGGAGGAGCCCGCGUACCAUUAGCUUGUUGGUGGGGUAAUGGCCUACCAAGGCUACGAUGGUUAGCUGGUCUGAGAGGAUGAUCAGCCACACUGGAACUGAAACACGGUCCAGACUCCUACGGGAGGCAGCAGUGAGGAAUUUUGCGCAAUGGGGGAAACCCUGACGCAGCAACGCCGCGCGAGUGAUGAAGACCCUCGGGUCGUAAAGCUCUGUCAAGUGGGAAAAAAUAUUUCCGGUUAAUACCCGGAAGGAUUGAUGGUACCGCUGGAGGAAGCACCGGCUAACUCCGUGCCAGCAGCCGCGGUAAUACGGAGGGUGCAAGCGUUGUUCGGAAUUACUGGGCGUAAAGGGCGUGUAGGCGGUUUGGCAAGUCAGAUGUGAAAGCCCUGGGCUCAACCCAGGAAGUGCAUUUGAAACUACCAUCCUAGAGUAUGGGAGAGGAGAGUGGAAUUCCCAGUGUAGAGGUGAAAUUCGUAGAUAUUGGGAGGAACACCGGUGGCGAAGGCGACUCUCUGGACCAAUACUGACGCUGAGACGCGAAAGCGUGGGGAGCAAACAGGAUUAG
rnacentral:rRNA from 1 species